AUGGUGAACAUGCUGAAGAUGGCAGUGUCCUCAGUGAAGAAGGAAUGAAAGCUGCCUGCCGUCGCCCUGGAGCUGCUCUACCUGGCACUCAAGGAAGACAAGUUUCUGCAGUUCUGGAAGGGGAUGGUGGAACAGGGGCUGCUGAAGCUUCAGUUCUGGCCAGCCAGUCCCUCUUAGCUACCUGUGUUUCUGCCUGCUGGGCACCACCCUUCCCCUGCUGACCAAGGAACAGCUGCAGCUGGUGAUGCAGGGAGACGUGAUCUGCCAUUACAUGGAGCACAUGUGCACGGCCAAGCUCCCAAACCAGUUCAAGUUCACCCCGGAGAUGGAGGAAUACAUGGGCACUUUCCUAGAGGGAUGCUGGUAUGACCCUGAGCAGGC